AGAAAUGACUGCUAAUACCGCAUAAGCGCACGAAGCCGCAUGGAUUUGUGUGAAAAACUCCGGUGGUGUAAGAUGGACCCGCGUCUGAUUAGCUUGUUGGCGGGGUAACGGCCCACCAAGGCGACGAUCAGUAGCCGGCCUGAGAGGGUGGACGGCCACAUUGGGACUGAGACACGGCCCAAACUCCUACGGGAGGCAGCAGUGGGGGAUAUUGGACAAUGGGGGGAACCCUGAUCCAGCGACGCCGCGUGAGUGAAGAAGUAUUUCGGUAUGUAAAGCUCUGUCAGCAGGGAAGAAAGAAAUGACGGUACCUGACCAAGAAGCCCCGGCUAACUACGUGCCGGCAGCCGCGGUAAUACGUAGGGGGCAAGCGUUAUCCGGAAUUACUGGGUGUAAAGGGAGCGUAGACGGUUAAGUAAGUCUGGAGUGAAAGGCCGGGGCUCAACCCCGGGACUGCUCUGGAAACUAUUUAACUUGAGUGCAGGAGAGGUAAGCGGAAUUCCUAGUGUAGCGGUGAAAUGCGUAGAUAUUAGGAGGAACACCAGUGGCGAAGGCGGCUUACUGGACUGUAACUGACGUUGAGGCUCGAAAGCGUGGGGAGCAAACAGGAUUAGAUACCCUGGUAGUCCACGCCGUAAACGAUGAUUACUAGGUGU
rnacentral:rRNA from 1 species